CAAUUUAUUGGCAGUCACGAGACUUUGGCGAGAUAUAAAAUCAUCAAGGAGUGGGACUAGUGAUCAAGGUCUGAGUUUCACCUCUAAGUUGACAACAUCGUACCCUAAAUGUUGUGGGCGCUUAUCCGCAGACAAGGCCUACUAGAAUAAUAUGGAGAUUUCCCAUCAAGGUUCGGAUGUCACUCCUGUAAAAAAAAUGAUGCUUAGCUGGUCUUUUUCGUAUGAUCAGCCACACUAGGACUGAGACACGACUCGGACUCCAGCGGGGGGCAGUAGUGGGGAAUCUUGGACAAUGGGCGAAAGCCCGAUCCAGCAAUAUCGCGUGAGUGAAGAAGGGCAAUGCCGCUUGUAAAGGUCUUUCGUCGAGUGCGCGAUCAUGACAAGACUCGAGGAAGAAGCCUCGGCUAACUCCGUGCCAGCAGCCGCGGUAAGACGGGGGGGGGGGGGGCAAGAGUUCUUCGGAAUGACUAGGCGUAAAGGGCACGUAGGAGGUGAAUCGGGUUGAAAGUGAAAGUCGCCAAAAAGUGGCGGAAUGCUCUCGAAACCAAUUCACUUGAGUGAGACAGAGGAGAGUGGAAUUUUGUGUGUAGGGGUGAAAUCCGUAAAUAUACAAAGGAACACCAAAACCGAAGGCAACUCUCUGGGUCCCUACCGACGCUGGGGUGCUAAAGCAUGGGGAGCAAACAGGAUUAGAUACCCUGGUAGUCCAUGCCGUAAACGAUGACUGUCCGCCCUUGGUCUACGCGGAUCAGGGGCACUGCUAACCCGUGAAACACUCCGCCUGGGGAGUACGGUCACAACAACGAAACUCAAAGGAAUUGACGGGGGCCUGCGUAAGUGGUGGAGCACGUGGUUUAAUUCGAUACAACGCGCAAAACCUUACCAGCCCUUGACAAUUGAACAAGAAAACCUAUCCUAAACGGGAUGGUACUUACUUUCAUACAGGUGCUGCAUGGCUGUUGUCAGCUCGUGUCGUGAGAUGUUUGUUCAAGUCCCAUAACGAGCGAAACCCUCGUUUUGUGUUGUUGAGACAUGCGCCUAAGGAGAAAGUCUUUGCAGCCGAAGUCAGUCGAGGAGCCGAGUGACGUGCCAGCGCUACUAAUUGAGUGCCAGCACGU
rnacentral:lncRNA from 1 species